rnacentral:rRNA from 1 species
UACGAAGGGGGCGAGCGUUGUUCGGAAUUACUGGGCGUAAAGGGCGCGUAGGCGGCGACCCAAGUCAGAUGUGAAAGUCCUGGGCUUAACCUGGGAACUGCGUCUGAUACUGGACGGCUUGAGUAUGGGAGAGGAACGUAGAAUUCCAGGUGUAGCGGUGAAAUGCGUAGAUAUCUGGAGGAAUACCGGUGGCGAAGGCGGCGUUCUGGACCAUUACUGACACUGAAUCGCGAAAGCUAGGGGAGCAAACGGG